rnacentral:rRNA from 1 species
AACCGAGAACUCCUACGGGAGGCAGCAGUGGGGAAUAUUGGACAAUGGGGGCAACCCUGAUCCAGCCAUGCCGCGUGUGUGAAGAAGGCCUUUUGGUUGUAAAGCACUUUAAGCAGGGAGGAGAGGCUAAUGGUUAAUACCCAUUAGAUUAGACGUUACCUGCAGAAUAAGCACCGGCUAACUCUGUGCCAGCAGCCGCGGUAAUACAGAGGGUGCGAGCGUUAAUCGGAAUUACUGGGCGUAAAGCGAGUGUAGGUGGCUCAUUAAGUCACAUGUGAAAUCCCCGGGCUUAACCUGGGAACUGCAUGUGAUACUGGUGGUGCUAGAAUAUGUGAGAGGGAAGUAGAAUUCCAGGUGUAGCGGUGAAAUGCGUAGAGAUCUGGAGGAAUACCGAUGGCGAAGGCAGCUUCCUGGCCUAAUACUGACGCUGAGGUACGAAAGCAUGGGGAGCAAACAGGAUUAGAAACCCCAGUAGUCCGACUGAGA